CCACGGGAGCCUAGAAAUUCCGCAGAGGAAUCGGACCAGCACCUAAAGAGGUGUGGGUGUUCUGCACAGAGGCCCAGAAAACAAGACUGAAGACAAGUUAACUCUCACCCUUGAAGUUCAAGUGGUCAAUGCAAAUGAGAGGAAACCCUCUCACUGUGAUUUUUUUCGUGCAAUAUUUAAAUAAUUUGCACACCUGAGGAACAGAGGAGAAGUAUGCUCAGUGUCACGUCAAGAAGGUAGUCAUAAAAUCCAUUUGUCAACUCUGUUUUUGGAAUGAGGAAGGAAAUAGCUCAACAGAAGGAAGACAAAGAAGAAGCAGCAGCAGCUAUCAAGAGGUAUAUGCCCAAUAAAGAUCAGAUGUAACUCUUUAUCUUGUAUUAUACAGUCGGAUCACAUAAGAAAUUGGGGAGAAUAAUUUACUAGAGAUCAUGAUUAACAGUAGCAUUUCAAUUUUUCAAAGAUUUUUCUGAUGAAUGAAUUUUGAUGUUAUAUUUAUACUAAUGAAUGGUAAAGAAGAGAUUUAGGAUAUCUAAUGAUUACAAAUAUAUUUUGAGUUGUGCUUGAAGUUAGGAACAACAGAUGGUUGGAUGAUACUGUACACCCCAUAUUUGAAAUAAAAAUAAAAGGGAUGA